rnacentral:lncRNA from 1 species
AGAGCCUCUCAGGGCCCCAAGACUCCAGGAAGAAACAAGUAUUGUAGAAGCCAAAACCCCAAGGCAAGGUAAAGAAAACAGAACUGUCCGCAUCCCCAGCAAUGAUUUCACUGGCAGGAGUUGCUGGGGGCGGGGUGGGGGGUCCGGUAUAUGUUCCAGCAGAGCUGUUUUACUUACUUCUCAACCAAAAGGCCCUUCUCUUUUACUCUUUAUAGGGGUAUCCUUUUGCCUUUCAAGAUUUGAACUUUCAAAACUUGACCUUAGAGUCAGUCUUGCUUGCUAACCCAUAAUACAACUUUGCACCUUUUAUUACUUUUGUUUGUUUUUGUACUGGCUUCUAUUAAAAUACUUCCUUAGUUAACUUAUUUUUGUUUACUCUACCCUGUCAUCCGGGGAGGAGCUAUUGAAAGAAAAAAACCUCUAAAUAGAAAUAUAUCACCAGCAGCACAAGUGGACUACAGCCUCGGAAAUGUCCUCACCGUCCGGCUUCAUGGCAAGCAGCCUGGCUGUUGGCAAGAUGCGCCCAGCUCUGCUUCUGCUCGUGUGGAACCUUACAUUACCCUAACGCAGCUGGGGCACAAGCCGUCUGUGCUUAUACUAUUCUUCUUAAGCUUGGAGACACACUCACCUUGAGAUCUCUCCUCUUUUUCAUCUAGACACUGGCAAGUCCUGUUCUGAGCUUAGCAAUGCCAAGUACCUGAACUGGAGGCAUGGCUGGCUGAUCCCUUCUAGCUCCCUCCAGUAGUGUCCCACCUUGGCUAUAUCAGUAACUGCGCCUCCUGUUAUUUCUCCUUCCCAGUUGUCAAGGUCAAACCUGGGCUGGAUAUUGUGAUGUCACAGAGUGGAAUCCUCACUCCUCCAGAUGGUCCAGCUGAGGCCCUCUUGGACAACACUUCCUCUCCUGCCCAUGGUGGGAGGUUGGGAAGGACAUUCCCCCAUUUCCAUUUGCUCUGCCAUUCAAAACCUUGUGAGGGCCCUCAGGGAAGAAUCCCUUUGCAGGUCAUAAACUGACCUGCAGAAUUAUGGGAUCUUAACUGUGGGGAGAGACCUAGAAGACCGGCUAGUGACCAGAUUCUCAUCUAACUCCUUUUUUUUUGCAGAUGAGGAAACUGAGGCCCCACGUGGUGAAGACAAUUUUUACCCGAAUCCACCCACAACAAGAGACCAUUUGGAUAAUGUACAUUAUGGGAAGAGAACAGAGUCUCAGUGAAGAUCAUGUUUCCCCAGCAACACAGGUGCCAGGAGUAGCUGGCUCUGGUCCCAGCCCAGACUCAGAAAUCCUGAGCCACCAGACCAUUUCUAGAUUAACAAGUAAGGUGACUUCUGAGCAACUAAUGUUUUCAUUGAGAUUUGAUGAUAAGCAGCAAAGCUCAAAUGAAAGUCCAGAGUUAGUGUUGGCAGGGCGAGAUGGCUCAUGCCUGUAAUCCCAGCACUUUGGGAGGCUGAGGUGGGAGGAUCACUUGAGCCCAGGAGUUUGAGACCAGCCCGAGCUAUAUAGUGAGACCCUAUCUCUACAAAAAAUACAAAAAUUAGCUGGGCGUAGUUGUGCGUGCCUGUAGUUCUAACUACUCAGGAGGCUGACAGGGGAUGAUCGCUUAAACCCAAGAUAUCGAAGCUGCAAUGAGUUGAGAUUGCACCACUGCACUCCAGCCUGGACGGCAGAAUGAAACCUUGUCUAAAACACACACACACACACACACACACACACACACACACACACACACACACACACACACACAGAGUAUUGAUUACAGCGCUAUACCAGGUUCUAGUGUUGAGUAAGGGACAGGGAGGAGCAAUCUGUAAAGAAAUAGAGUCUCACUGGAAUUUCAUUCUUCAUUAUUUCAUACCCUUCACUUUUUCUAGACGCUAACCCCAUAUGAUACUAAAAAGUAUCUGUAUUGCAUCAGACGACGUAUCUGUGAAGUCAGAGAAUUGUGCUUUAAGAAUCUCUCAAGAGGAGAACAUAUAUUGGGCUUUCAUAAUACCAAUAACAUUUUACAUCAUGCUUCAUUUACAAGCUAUUUUCACACAUAUCACUCUAUUUAAUCUUCACAACUUGGUGAGAUAAACAAAGUAUUAUUUUCAGUAUAAUUUUCUGGAUGAGAAAAUUAUAGCUUAGAGAAGUUGUGUCUUGCACGAGAUCACAAAGCUAAUUAAGUGGAAAGGUUACUUAACAUUAACUACAAACCAGAUCUUCCACCAAGCCUUUUCCCCACCACAGGGCUUUGCUGGUUGGGGAGAAAUUGUCAUUUGGUCCCAGAACACACUUGAAGGCCACUGCCUUAAGCAACCCUUUGAGUAACAAGGAAGAAAGUAUUCCCGUAGGUCAUAAAUACUGCUUUACUAACUUCCUA